rnacentral:lncRNA from 1 species
GGCAGUUUUGUUUUCCGUAUAUAUAUAUACUUGACGUUUUCCCAGAAAUUGAAAUUGAAUGAAAGUAUGCUUUAAAUGCAAUGUAUAAAAUUAUAUGAAAAGUAUAUUGAAAUGUGAAUUGAGAUGCCAUGCAUAAAAGUAUAUGAAAAGUAUAUAGAAAUGUGAAUCGAAUUGCCAUGCAUGAAAUGAUAUGAAAAGUAUGAAAUUGAGAUAUGAUGCAUAUGAAUGAAUGGUGCGGCGGACGCACAGGUGAGUAUCAGGUGAGUAUUUAAAUACUGAUAUGAUGAUGUUAAUGUAUAUUGAGCUCAAAUCCUGCACCAUGGUUUAGUGCUUAUAGUAUUCACCGCAUCGCACGCUCGCCUUGGAUCCAAGUAGAUGCUGGUCGCACAGUCCACGCGGAGUGGGUGCGACGGGCCAGUCGAAGAGUGUUAGUGAGAUUUCGACUGGUGGGUGACCUUAGAUUAUGUGC